rnacentral:rRNA from 1 species
GACGAACGCUGGCGGCGUGCUUAACACAUGCAAGUCGAACGGAAAGGCCCUGCUUUUGUGGGGUGCUCGAGUGGCGAACGGGUGAGUAACACGUGAGUAACCUGCCCUUGACUUUGGGAUAACUUCAGGAAACUGGGGCUAAUACCGGAUAGGAGCUCCUGCUGCAUGGUGGGGGUUGGAAAGUUUCGGCGGUUGGGGAUGGACUCGCGGCUUAUCAGCUUGUUGGUGGGGUAGUGGCUUACCAAGGCUUUGACGGGUAGCCGGCCUGAGAGGGUGACCGGCCAAAUUGGGACUUGGGUACCGCCCAGACUCCUACGGGGGGCAGCAGUGGGGAAUAUUGCAACAAGGGCGGAAGCCUGAUGCCGCAACGCCGCGUGCGGGAUGACGGCCUUCGGGUUGUAAACCGCUUUCGCCUGUGACGAAGCGUGAGUGACGGUAAUGGGUAAAGAAGCACCGGCUAACUACGUG